rnacentral:rRNA from 1 species
UGAGGAAUAUUGGUCAAUGGGCGCUAGCCUGAACCAGCCAAGUAGCGUGAAGGAUGACUGCCCUAUGGGUUGUAAACUUCUUUUAUAUGGGAAUAAAGUGCAGUAUGUAUACUGCUUUGCAUGUACCUUAUGAAUAAGGAUCGGCUAACUCCGUGCCAGCAGCCGCGGUAAUACGGAGGAUCCGAGCGUUAUCCGGAUUUAUUGGGUUUAAAGGGAGCGUAGGCGGACGCUUAAGUCAGUUGUGAAAGUUUGCGGCUCAACCGUAAAAUUGCAGUUGAUACUGGGUGUCUUGAGUACAGUAGAGGCAGGCGGAAUUCGUGGUGUAGCGGUGAAAUGCUUAGAUAUCACGAAGAACUCCGAUUGCGAAGGCAGCCUGCUGGACUGUAACUGACGCUGAGGUUCGAAAGCGUGGGUAGCAAACAGG